rnacentral:lncRNA from 1 species
UCCAGAUCACGCCCAAAUUCGUGGCUCGUCCAGCCGCCAAUUUGGUGGUGCCUUGUGUUGGUGCAUUUUCCCAGACCUGUUCUUUCUGUGAUUGUUUUCAAUCUCUCCCGCGUUCUUGCGGCUGAUUUCUUGGACGGAUUUCUCCGGCCGCGUCUCCGGAUUUCCUCGAUCUGGGGGCAAUGCGGCUGCGCAUUCGGUUCUCUGCUUCGGAAGCCCCCCAAACCCCCCACCAUUGGUGAUUAUUUCUGAGCUUUCUCGCCUUAAAAUCGGCGCGUUUCUCGGAGCACCUCGAGGCAUCUGAUUUCAGAAGGUCAUUGCCCCGAUUUCACGCGAACUUGGGCGGGGCAUUGUUCUGAGUUUUUUUUUUUUUUUUGUCAAAACAUUUGUGCCGCGUCACUGGACUUCGUCGGCCAAUUGCUUCAGGGAGCUCACGGAUUUGUUGCCCAUCGCCACUAACCUCCCGCCGGUAAGCCGGAGGAAUCACAUUGCGAUGGUCGGGUCGGUGUAGGAAAGAGCAGGCAAAAGAUGAGGCGCUGCAGGGGAGAAUGGCUCCUCGUGCCGUGCAUCAUCUCCGUGCUGCUCUUUGUACCAUUGGCCUGCGGACGAUUGCUCAUUGGCGCAAGCGAUAUGUCGCCGCCUGCACUGACACCAUCCUUCAUCAAGCAAGUAGACGAUUGGGUGAGUACAUUAUCCAUGUAUUUCAUCGCACUCGGUAGUAACAUCUGUAGUGAGAUGGUGCCAUUCCAUAGUUUGUGAUCAAGAGCAAAGUAGUUUAGUUUGGGUCAUCUUAAGAAGUGAGAAUUAACUUAUUAAGUAGUAUCAAUCCUUUUUGCAAGAGAAAAAACCGGUUCAGGAAGGCAGGAAUUGCCACCAUCGAGAUCAUAGAAUGAUAGAAUUGCAAGGAUUGUCCGGCUAUAUUUCUGGUAUGGUGUUUAGGUUGGUGCCUUCGCUCUAUUAGCUCAUGAUGCCGACAUUCAGAAUUGGCAUGUGGUGCUCUUCGAAUUACCUGUGACAGAAGAGAUAAGAUCACUGAAUUUCGAGGGGUUCCCAGAGGCCAAAGCUGUUUAUGAUUUUAUACUGCAAUUGAAAAUACUGACCAUCCAGAUUAAAACCCUGCAAGCAGAAGCAGAGAUUUUGAAACAAAAUAUUAACGUUCCCUCCUGUUAGGUACACAUCACUGCACUGGUCGAACAUCUUUAUGCGCUAAUGAUAUCUUUUUUUUUUUUAAUUAUUACUGCCUAUUUAAUGAGUAGCAUGUGUCGGAUUAAUUCUGUUAUUAUUGGUACUAUGAUGCAUGUAGAGUUAAGUAAGGAAUGUGAUGAUAAUAUGAUAUUUAGUCCAACAUACUAGUAACGUUUUACAGCAGGUAACCUUCAGCGUCGAAUUUGAUGGGAUAAAAAAUUGUACUCCCUUUGUUCACAAAUAUAAGAUGUUCUGACUUUUUUCUGAAUCAAAUGUAUAUAGACAUGUUUUAGUGUGUUUGUUCACUAAUUUCAGUUUGUAUGUAGUCCAUUUUGAAAUAUCCAAAAUAUCUUAUAUUUGUGAACAGAGGGAAUAGUUUCUAACUGCUGACUCUCACUGGUACUUCAUGGUAGUAGUUUAUAUUUUUAAUGGUCUGGUACUUCAUGGUAGUUUAUAUUAUUAUUCUGAAAAGGAUGCGCACCUACUUUAUCUCAUUAGCAUCUGUUUCUGAUUAAUUCUCAUGCACUGACAAGGGUGACUACUCGUUACGAUAUCUAUAGGUGGAACACGCGUGGCUCAAAUGUGGAUUGGACAAGAAAAGCCUUCAAGAUGUUAGAAACUACUACAACUACAACCAUGUACUUGAUAUCAUCCAUAGGAUAUCUGACAAUAAGGGAACUUCCCCUGUCAUUGAAAAAGGUGCCAGCUCAUUGACCCCAGAAAUCAAGCAAACUUUGCUGAUCUGCUUAAGCAAACAGAGUUCUGAGGUUGCAAAUAACCUACCCGAUGGUUAUAUCAAAACACUUACCGCCUCAAUAAGAGGAGAGCUGGCUCCGGGACCUGCUCCUGCAAAUGAAGCAGUAAAACCUUCGCCAGGGAAACCAGCUGAGGGUGCUUCAUCAGAAGCAACUACAAAAAAGGCAGUGCCUGCAACUAAAUCAGUAGGAAAAAAGGACAGCGAUGGCAUGCCAACUACCAAUGUCAUUGGUGUGUCCUUGGUUGUUAUAGCACUUUUAGCUCUUCUCUGCGUUGGCUGCUGCAUGUACCGUGAAAGCCAGAGUUCUGCGGCUUCUGCCUAUGAUAAUAAGCAACUCCUGAAUCUAUGUAAUGUCUUGUAUCAUCCAUUUUGCUCCAAGUCAAAGUUUUCCUCUCUUCUACCACUGACUUUUAUGCUUUCAUUUGCAGCGGAUUCUUGCAAGUCUUCCAGUGUAAAUCUAAUAGAUGUCACUAAGCUGGGAGCAUUGCCAUUGCAGUCAGAGGCUGGCCAAAAUGGCCAUGUGAAUCAAAGUUCACAGGAAGGCCCAAACACUGAUGAAAUUGGCUAUGUGAGACUAAGUUCACAGGAAGGCCCAAACACUGAUCAAAAUAACCAUGUGAAACUAAGCUCACAGGAAGACGCAAACACUGGUCAAAUUAGCUAUGUGAAACUAAGCUCACAGGAAGACCCAACCAGUGGCCGAAAUAGUGAUGUGAAGCUAACUUCGCAGGAAGACCCAAACACUGGCCAAAAUAACCAUGUGAAGCUCACAUCGCAGGGAAGUGCAAACACUGAUCCAGCAAGCUACAGCAGUUCCACCGAGUCAAUGGCUGCUUCUGUUGGUUCUGUGCAAGGAUCAACACCAAUGAUGCCACCUCCAGCACAUCCUCAAGUACUUGCGCCUCAACCAAAGGCUCCUCCUCCACCACCAGCUCCUCAAGCACUUGUGCCGCCUCCGAAUGCUUCUCCAGUUCUUUCCUCUGGACCUUCACCGCCACCAGCUCCAAAAGCCUCCCCGCCUCCUCCCUCAGGACCCUCACCACCUACUUCUCCAAAAGCUGCACCACCACCACCACCACCAUCAAAAUCUGGUGGACCUCUCCCGCCACCACCAGCGCUGCCUGAUUCUUCCAAAAUGCGUCCACCAUCACUUAUGAAGUCAGGCAAUAAAGCAGACACAGAUGCGGAUUCUAGUGAAGCUAAAACAAAGCUUAAGCCCUUCUUUUGGGAUAAAGUAGCAGCAAAUGCUAAUAAAUCAAUGGUGUGGGAUCACCUUAAAGCUGGAUCAUUCCAGUAAGUUGGUAGAGAUAGCUGAGCUAUAUACUCCCUCCGUUCCCAAAUAUUUGUCUUUCUAGGCAUUUCAAAUGGACACAACAUACGGAUGUAUGUAGACUUAUUUUAGAGUGUAGAUUCACUCAUUUUGCUCCGUAUGUAGUUACUUGUUGAAAUCUCUAGAAAGACAAAUAUUUGGGAACGAAGGGAGUAGUUAUCUAGACAAAUUCUUAGAUUUGUGUAGAUACGGAUGUAUCAAGUCACGUUUUAGUAUUAGAUACAUCCAUAUCUAGACAAAUCUAAGACAAGAAUUUUGGGACGGAGGGAGUACUAUUGUAAGAUCGCACCAUUUUAUAACUAAAUGGUACUUCUUCACAGGUUAAGCGAGGACGCUAUUGAAACACUUUUUGGUUGUAAUGCUGACAAGAAGAGUGGUGAUGCCAAAAAAGAUUUAACAUCAAAGGAAGCUGCCCAAGUUGUGAGGAUACUUGAUCCUAAAAAGGCACAGAACCUGGCCAUAUCAUUGAAGGCGUUGAGUGUUUCAGCAGAGGAAGUUUCUUGUGCAGUUAAGGAAGGUAAAGUGUACUGUCACUCGUUUAUACUGUGCAAGUGCACAGCUCUUCCUGGAUGAAAUGCGGCUUCUUCUGAUUCUUGCCAGUCUUGUAGAUACAGUUAUUUUAUUUUAUUUUGGGCAAAUCUCCAGUUUUUUUUUAAGUUGCAGUGAUACAUUGAAUACUUAUCCAGCUUCUGGUCUAUAACUCCAUGCAAUAAUAUAUCAGCUGCGUAUAUCAUUUGUGUCUUCACAAUCAGGAGUUGCGGCUAUUCUUCUGUGCUAAGGACAAUGAAUCACUUGAUUUCAUUUGCUUCUUCUAUUUUUCAAAGCAAAUAGUACACAUUUCUGCUAAACUGAUGUGAGUCUUGUCUUCUAGGUUAACUCUAAUUCUUGAACUAAUAACAAAGUCAGCAAGAUUAUGUAGCAUGCAAGUGAUGUCAAAUGCUCAAAUCGGCAUUUGGUUCUAGACUUAACCACAUUUGUGUACAUCUGGCCUCCAUAUUUUGGAAUGGACGCCUCAAGCAUGGGUUCAUGUGCUUCUGACUAUUCUAUUUGGACAUUUAGAACAAAGAACAUGUUGAUUAAAUCCUAUUUCCUGAUAACAUCUUUUGCCUUAUCAAUUUCCCUUGAUAAUUUGUAGGAAAUGAACUUCCAUCCGACUUGAUACAGACCUUAAUUAGAUGGGUCCCGAGUACUGAUGAGGAGCUCGGGCUUCGACUAUAUACUGGGGAACUCUCACAGCUUGGUCCUGCAGAGCAGUUCUUAAAAGCAAUCUUCGACAUUCCUUAUAUCUAUGAGCGCCUGGAUGCAUUACUUUUCAUGGCUGGUUUACCAGAGGAAGCUUCAAAUGUAAAGCAAUCUUUUGCCACCUUAGAGGUAAUAGCAUUACCAUUAUGACCUGUUUGGCUUCCACACUAUAUUCAGUUCUGUCGUAUGACUUGUAUCAGUCUUGUUUGAUGCUCUCUAGUCCUUUAACCGAUGAACAUUUUUAUCAAGUAAUAAUAGAGAUUAUCGUAGUGUAGAUGUUUCCACUCUUCCUGCACCUUGAUGUUUCUACCGAUCUUCUUAUCUCUGCUAUCUUGGCAUUUAAAUCCUGAUCAGAUGGCUUGUGAGGAGCUUAAAAACAGCCGUCUAUUCUUGAAGUUACUAGAAGCUGUUCUUAAAACAGGGAACCGGAUGAAUGUUGGCACGUUCCGAGGAGGAGCUCAAGCGUUCAAACUAGACACCCUGCUCAAGCUUUCCGACGUCAAAGGAACUGAUGGGAAGAUAACGCUGCUGCAUUUUGUUGUUCAAGAGAUGAUCCAUUCUGAAGGUGUCCGUUCUGCACGGGCUGCAAAGGAGCAGACGGGCAGCAUAUCCAGUGUGGACAAGAAUGAUCUUAUUGAAGACGAAUAUAAACAACUAGGUCUGCAGGUUGUGUCCAGUUUAGGAGAUGAACUUCAAAAUGUCAGGAAUGCAGCAAUCCUUGAUGCAGAUCAGUUGACUAUGUCGGUAACAAGUGUUGGCCACAGGCUUGGCAAAACCAAAGAAUUCUUGAACACAAGCAUGAAAAGUCUGGAUGAAGAUAGUGGGUUUCACCGCAAGCUUGUGCAUUUCGUGGAGCAGUCUCAAACUGAAGUUACUUUCUUGCAAGAGGAAGAGAAGAAAAUACGGUCCUUGGUAAAGAGCACUGUCAAUUAUUUCCAUGGGAGGACAGGGAAGGAUGAGGGCCUUCGUUUAUUUGUCGUAGUGCGGGAUUUUCUUGCAAUGCUUGACAAGGUGUGCAAUGAGGUGAAAGAAGCAUCAAAAGUAGCUCCAAAGAAAACGAAGACUGAAGUUACUCUGCCUUCCCGCACACCCAGAUCUUUCCAAGAUCCCCGGCGUAACCUUUUUCCGGCAAUUCAAGACCGGAGGGCACAUAGUUCAAGCUCUAGUUCUGACGAGGGAAGUUAACUCUAAACGAAGGUACUCUACCUACCUUUUCCUUGCAGCGCUUGGAGGUUUGCCCUUUGAAAACAUUAGUGAGAAGAGAUGGAAAAUCAGAGCUAAAGAAAAGGCAAGAGAUGGAAAAUUGACGAUAAAGCCAACUCUGGCUUUGGUCACUUGUUGCAGCAACAGAAUAAAAUUGCUGAAGGAAGGCAGUCAUCUUCCAUAACGUCCUUGACAGGCAAUUGUUGCACUUUGGCUCCUAUAUCAAACAAACAAAGGUGAUAUUCACGAUCAAGAUGGAGAAGUCGAAACGGAAGCCGUCGAAAGGGGUGGCGAAGAAAACUGACCCCUUAGUUAGGGCGUGCAUAACAGGGAGGGAGGAAGAAGCAGCAGGCUGGUUGACUGACUGUGUGACACUGCCUGCUGUUUUUUCGCUUAACAUUUGUACCAUCACAGAAAGGAGAGGAAUAAAUACAGCAUUAGAAAGAAAGAGAUGCACCACACGGGCUCAUAAACAUUGGAUUCUUUUGCUUGCGCUUGACAAAUACUUUUGCAAAGAGCAAUGCUGUAAAUUGUCAUACUUUCAACUGAAACAUCCUGUGUGUUCGCGACUUGGUGUGCCUUUUGCAAUGUACCAGAUUCGCACUGCUGUGCUGUCGUCUGGAUAGUCAGGGCACCCAAAACAAUGUGCAGCGCUGCUAUAUGUGGACUGAUAAUUGUUUCAUUUCCCUUGCCAUUUCUUUACGGAAUCCUUUUUUAUCCCGGGUGUUAGAUCGCAAGCAUUUCCUGCCAAAAUGUCUUGCUCGUGAAAAACUUCGCCAUCUACUCCCCGCCAAAAUUCCAUUAUCACUAUCUCGAGCCGUAGCACAACUACGGAUUGUAAAGAAGAGCACACAUCUCGUUGUCGAACAGCUUCGCAGAUUAAUAUUAGUAGGAUUUCGCAUCUAUAUCUCGUUUUCUAACCAUGAAACAAUAGGCAAGAAUUGACCAUGGAAAGAACAGAGCAACGAAUUGGCAAGUAAGUAAUCCAUAGGUGCAACGUUUUAUAGAACAUAGCAACGAAUUACAGAGGAUGUAACCAUUGUCCACACCUAGUUUAGCAUCGGUACAAGCACACAGAUUCAGAAACUAAUAGUAGUACUAACAUCCUAGUAGUAGUAAAACGCAACACCUAGGCAACACUUAACUGAACACGCUACUACACAGAACUGGAUACAGCCGAGCACCCACGACCUCAGAGGAGGAGUCGUCAUCUAG